rnacentral:rRNA from 1 species
CUGGUCUUGACAUCCACGGAAGUUUUCAGAGAUGAGAAUGAGCCUUCGGGAACCGUGAGACAGGUACUGCAUGGCUGUCGUCAGUUCGUGUCGUGAGAUGUUGGGUUAAGUCCCGCAACGAGCGCAACCCACGUCCUUAGUUGCCAUCAUUCAGUUGGGCACUCUAGGGAGACUGCCGGUGAUAAGCCGCGAGGAAGGUGUGGAUGACGUCAAGUCCUCAUGGCCCUUACGGGAUGGGCUACACACGUGCUACAAUGGCGGUGACAGAGGGCAGCUACACAGCGAUGUGAUGCUAAUCCCAAAAAGCCAUCUCAGUUCGGAUUGCACUCUGCAACUCGGGUGCAUGAAGUUGGAAUCGCUAGUAAUCGCAGAUCAGCAUGCUGCGGUGAAUACGUUCCC